rnacentral:lncRNA from 1 species
CAGGGUGUAUAAAAAAAGGUAAUCGAACUUCAGCGCGUUAUUGUAUCUGAAUUACUCUGCGUAUCACAUUCGGAAAGAUCAUGCUUUUAGCUGUUGAAUGAUAUCUUCUUCAUGCCAAAUGGAUAAAAAAUGAGCAAAUACGAAGCCGAUAAAAAAUGUUAGUCAGAAUCGCAUAUUUUCACCGUUGAGAGUUGGGUCUAAAACCAUUGAAAAUGAACCCCCUUUGGUACUUAAGUUGAUGAAUUUCACUUCAAUAAACGACGCACAUAUUCAUAAUUAUUAUUAAGUAGGAAUAAAU